UACGAAGGGGGCUAGCGUUGUUCGGAAUUACUGGGCGUAAAGCGCGUGUAGGCGGGCCGUUAAGUUGGGGGUGAAAUCCCAGAGCUCAACCCUGGAAUUGCCUUCGAGACUGGAGGGCUGGAGUAUGAUAGAGGUGAGUGGAAUUGCGAGUGUAGAGGUGAAAUUCGUAGAGAUUCGCAGGAACACCAGUGGCGAAGGCGGCUCGCUGGACCAUUGCUGACGCUGAGGUGCGAAAGCGUGGGGAGCAAACAGG
rnacentral:rRNA from 1 species